AGGACGAACGCUGGCGGCGUGCUUAACACAUGCAAGUGGAGCGACGAACCAGGGCUUGCCCUGGGGCAGAGCCGCGAACGGGUGAGUAACACGUGGGUUACCUGCCUCGAUGACCGGGACAACCCGAGGAAACUCGGGCUAAUACCGGAUGUGCCCGCAAGGGGAAAGGAAGCUUCGGCCUCCGCAUCGAGAUGAGCCCGCGGCCCAUUAGCUUGUUGGUGAGGUAACGGCUCACCAAGGCGACGACGGGUAGCCGGCCUGAGAGGGCGACCGGCCACACUGGGACUGAGACACGGCCCAGACUCCUACGGGAGGCAGCAGUGGGGAAUAUUGCGCAAUGGGCGAAAGCCUGACGCAGCGACGCCGCGUGGGGGAUGAAGGCCUUCGGGUUGUAACCCCUUUCAGCAGGGACGAAGCGAAGUGACGGUACCUGCAGAGAAGCGCCGGCUAACUACGCGCCAGCAGCCGC
rnacentral:rRNA from 1 species